CGCUUGACGUGCAGAGCGCCCCGCGCCCCCUCCAGGACCCCACUCUCUCCUCCCCGCUCCCCCUCUCCCAACCCUAAAACUUUCCCCCCAGUCCCCCACAGCCGCCUCCCCAUCCGAAAAGACAAGGCGGCUCCCAAGCAGUGGAUCCGGCAGCGCUGGCUUCUCCUCUCCUCGCCACCGCUGUCCACCCCUCCUCAUCUCGUGAGGACAUGGAGGGGAGCUUCUCUGGUGGCGGCGACGACCUGCAGUCAAAGGGCGACGGAGGCGGUGCUCGACUCGGUCUACAUGAGAGAGAGAGAGAGAGGAUGUGAGGGAGAGAGAGAAGGAAGGAGAGGAGGAUAAAGAGAGAGAGGAAAUAGGAGAGGGAGGUGUGGCGGCGGACUGGAGAGGGUGGGUGGAAGGAACGCCACCGGCUCAUCGUUGUUCACACCGCGUGGUGCUCGACUCGAUCUACAUGAGAGAGAGAGCGAGAGAGGAUGAGAGGGAGGGAGAGAAGGAAGGAGAGGAGGAUAAAGAGAAAGGAAAGAGGAGAGGGAGGUGCGGUGGCGGACAGGUAAGGGUGGGUGGAAGGAACGCCGCUGGCUUGUCGUUGUUCACACCGCGCUGGAGAAAGAGGAGAGGGAUGUGCGGGGCCAGAUGGGAGCGCCGUUGGCUCGUCAUCGUUCACACCGCACUGGGCCAGAGAUGCUUCUGUACAACGCUCACGUCUAGUACACAAGUGGUUGCCCAUGAGGCCUCCUCCUACUCGGCUUAUUCAUUGAGUUUGCAGAUGGAGGAUGUGAUUCCAGCAAGACAGAGACGAUGGCGAUGACAAGUGAGAUUUAUGUUAAGGAGUAUUAGCAUAUGCUCACAGGAUCACUGGAAGCUUAUAAAGGUGGAAAUUAGCAAGCAAGCUACAGUCGAUGCAUGGAUGACCAAGUUUACUUAUUACUUUAUGAAGAUGAUGAUUCCUGCAUGUUGAUUGUGCUUCAAGGUCGAAGAGGAUGGGAGGAGGGGAAGUGCGCUGUAUAUUUUGUUAUGCACACCUUUCUAAACUAUACUUGUCUUCUUAACACAUGUUCAUUGUCCAGUAGAAGCUGUAGAUUUCAGCGUACAAUAAUUCCAAAACGGUAGAAGGUAAGAACCAUGUUACACAUGAUCCUUUUGUGUUUUCUUGAUUUAAAGUAGCAUGUACCUGUUAAACUUGGAGAUGAUUUUCGUGGUGUAUUUAUAAAUUAUCAGCCAAGGUUAUUCCUUCAGGCAAUUUUUUCUUCCCUGAAGCCUAGGCAUAUUGGUUGGUUGGUUGGCUCUCUUUACUAGCACGAAGAUAACUACUAUGUGUUGCUUAGUUAUUAGCGGAUCGAGUGUAUGAAUGAUCUUAUGUUCACCCAGACUUAUAAGUUUCUAAAUACUAGGCUCUUGGGACUUAUUUCUAAGGGUUAGUUUUUUUCUGGAUUCAUGUACUCUGGUGCUACAACCUAGGUAAAGCUCCUUCACAAUAGUGUUUUAAGCUUAAAUUGAUAACUCAAUCAAAGUUAAAGCAUUAGGCUCUCUGCUCUGUGUACGGCCCAAGUGUUCUACAUAAUGCUUUAUAUAGUCCCAAUGUGACUUCUUUGUUUUCUUAGCGGUCGGUGAUAUUUAAUAUUCAGUCAGAUCUUGGAGGAAAUGAAAAAUAUGCGAGUGUGUGUGCAUGUGUAUGUGUGCGUGUGUGCGUGCACACGUGUGUGUGUGUGUGUGUGUUUGUUUUCUCCUCUUUUGGUUUUAGUGCAGUAGGUGAAAGUUUAUGUAUAGUCAAAUUUAAUUGACUAAUUGGAGGGUUCAUAUAUCUGUAUGAAAAUAAGCUAAUACAAACGCAAAAUUGUUGAAUGCAUUAAUCUUCGUUCAGUGUGUGACCCAUAGUUAAUGCACAUUCUUGCAUUAGAAAGAAAAUGGAUAACCUUCUGAAAUGCUAAACUUCCUAGAACUUCUCUUUUCAUAAGAAAAUAAACUGUCAAUGAUGUGAAUAGAAGCACCUGUAGUACCACUGACCUUUGGCAACCUACGUGUCGUGCCUCCAAGGCAGGCCAUGAGUGAUGGCUGCCGUGAUGUCAGCCUUGCAAAAAAAGGGCUUUGUUGACUGAUGGCUAGCUAUAGUUUGUGUUUGUUGUUUACAUGACAGUUUUUUAACCAUUUGACCUAUCUUUUAUAGACGGUAUAGUUCACAAAAACUAAACUUUUGAUAGAAAGUACAUGGGUUUAUAGUAGACCAUUCUAGACCAUAUCUCUUGAAUACAUAGUUUAUAAUAUUUUCUGGUUUUAAAUACUCCCUCUGUCCCAAAAUUCUUGUCUUAGAUUUGUCUAGAUACGGAUGAAUCAAGUCACAUUUUAGUAUUAGAUACAUCCGAAUCUAGACAAAUAUAAGACAAGAAUUUUGGGAGGGAGGGAGUAUAUGAGAGUGCCCAUCUUACUUAGUGGCAAUGCUAUGCUUCAGAGUAUACAAUGUUUUGCAUACCAGUAUAAUUCAUAAGUGGUUUUUCGUAUUCAGGUGUUACUAAUAUGGUGAGUGAUUUAAGGGGAGGCAUGGGGAGAAGAGCAGUCCAAAUGGUGGAUGGAGCAUGUGACCUGUUGAUGUUAGUUUCCAUUUUCGGAAAGAACAAAUUUUCUAUAAUUUGAGUGUAUGGUGAUGUGUUAAAGUCAAUCAUUUGGAUUCCCAACUAGACCAUUGUGUGUGUUCUUUAUUUCAUUGUGCAUUGAUAAAAUAUUUCAGUGCCCGUGUGCACCAAGUUGAAUUUUGAAACAGAUGAGGGGACAACACUGCAUAAGGGAGUUUACCCUUCAGGAAUGUUCUUGUUUGCUGUUGUGAUUAAUAGUAGGAAAUUUUAUACCUAUAGCAGAACAGUUCCUCAAGCUAAAGUCUUAUGUAAC